UUGGAGAGAGUACCUGUUCAGUCUUCUUUAAGCCACAGAAUAUAGCAAAGUAAUGCAUGUCCACGACUAGGAUUGUCAGAUACUUUUUGGGUAAGCAUAUUGAAUUUAAAUGAAAGAGUACACUUUGUACAGAAAAAAUAAUUUGAAGGAGAAAUCAUGAAAUUUAAUAGUUUACCCAUGGAUAUUUGUGUAAUUUUAAUUAUAUCAUGGGUAACGUUAACUGAAGUCAAGUGUGUAAAAUUCUUUUGAAAGUUAAAGCACAAAGUUUGAUAGAUAUGUACGUUCAACAAUAACAAACAAAUACUUGACACCCACUACCACCACCAAAAUAUGUAUGCUGAAAUCGUGUCUCCCUGGUGAAUAUAGAAAGAUACAGAAAAGCUGACCACUUAGGUAAAAGGUUUGGGACGGAGGAGGGGGCCUGUAGCUCCUGUUGUAGCCAAUGUAUAAAACUUUAUUUCAAGGUGGGAAUCAGUAGAUUGUCUCCAGUACUAAGCAGUUAAUCAUUAAUCAGUUGAUCUUCAUUAUCAACCAAAACUGCUUGUGUUUUCUUUUCAGCAGCUUCCUAGCAAUGUGAUUACAAAUGUUUAAAUCAGUGGAUAAUGAAAUUGACUUGUUUGUGUUCCUUGUCACGUGGUGGAGAGUAAGCCUCCGUGCUCAGAGGAGCAGUUCCAGCAGUGGGCGAGUGCUAGCUCGGUGUCGCCGGGCUGCGUUUCCUUGCUCACAGAGCCCUGGAGCUUGGCCACCUUGAAUGAGUCGGAGGAGGAAAGGUUUGGGUUUGAGAGCUCUGGGUUUAUUUCUUGCUGUUGAGAUGGGAGACUGUGGGAGAAGUCAUAAAUAGGGUUUGAGGGAGGUCGUAGACCCAGAGGUUCUCGCUGGGGUAAAUGCUGGAUGGAUUUGCUUAUGGAUGAAUCUGUUUAUAGCUGUUUCACACUUUUACCUCUAAUUGUUGGUGCUUCCAAGGGGCAAAGCUCAGUGUCUGGUUCUUACUGGGUUGGUAUCUCAGAAGUCUUCCCCAAUGCACCAAUCAUGGUCACUCUGUUCCCUUUCGUUCUGCAUCUGUAGUGAAAUAACUAACUUGCUGAUCUGCCAUGAGAGUUGAUUUUUUUUUAAUAACACCAAGCAUCUUGGGAAAAGACAGGUAGAUACUAGAAGCGAAUAGUAUUUGGGACAGGAGUUGUGGGAUGUGGGGGUUUGUGGCACUGUGUAUAUAUCACCAUCUCCAGUGCACCCAGAGAGAGCAAGGGCAGCAGCCCCCGAGCCCCUCUUGAGUCCUUUGUCCCUUUGUGGCUUGGUCACUCAAAUCCCCUGUGCAGAUUCUGAAUUCUUCUCCCUUGUAGCCACCCAUGGGAGUUCAGGAAGGCUCACAUCCAGCUGCUGCCCCAGGUCAACUCGCAGCCUUGCACACAGGUGCUGUCUGUUGUCAGGAACUUGGGGACACUGCCCAGCCGGCCCAACCACAGUCCUCCUCCUCCUCCUGGGGCAACUUGCCUGCCUCUGCUGGUGGCACUGGCCCAGCUCCCAGCGCUGGCCCUGCCUCCUUGGCCCUGUUGCUUGCUCGCCAGACCGUGAAUCACUCUAGACUUGGGGCAUUUUACCUGUCUGAAGGGCGAGCAUGCAGUGCUUCUGUUUGCCUGGGAGCUCUAGGGAUGCAAUCCUAGAAACUGCCCAGAGGAAAUAUCUUCCUCAGGAGGAAUUUAGAUAAGUUCCUUAAGGAGAAACCACAUUUUACUAAUGAGAGGCAAUGUUGUUUACUCGAGGGAGUUCUGGCUCUGAAGUCAGUUUGUAGUCCUGCCUAGCGACUCGCCUGGUAUGUUGCGCUGGCCAAACUGCUCGAUCUCUGUGCACAGUUUCCAUCUGUAAAAUAGGGUUGUUAUGAGGAAUAGCCAAGUUGACUCAUUCAUGUAAAGCACUUGAAGAGUGGUGUAUACAUAGUAAGCACAUAUUAAAUGUCAGUGUAUCAUUAGCAUCAGACACUGGUUUAUACAUAGUAGGUGCUCAUUAAAUAUUCUGUUGAAUAAGUAUAACAUUCAGAAGGUGGAAAAAUGAUUUCCUCAUCUCUUACCAUAAAAUAAUAGUAAUACUUGCUUUGCAACGAAGCAUUGUAGGCAUGGAGGCAUUUACCCCUCCUGGCUGGGGGCAGGGUAGUAGAAUGUUCCAGAUUCAUUAUCAGUAACAGUAUGCCAUCAGACCUAACAUACUCAGUAUGUCAGAAGUUUGAAUAAUGUUUACUGGCUCCCAAGGUAGUUUUGAAAGGGCAAAACAGCUUAAUCAGGUGAUUUAUUUCCAGUAAGCAUUGUUAUUGGAACAUUUCAAACUCCAGCAUAUUUGAUGGCUGUAUUAAAACAGGGCUUUGCCCUUUCUUGAUGGGUUCACUCUGCAUUCCGACUCAUGUUUGCUUUUGAGGUGGAGGUAGGUAGCAAGGUGCUCUUUAAUUGAACAGGUUGUUGCGCUUUGUAGCCCACUCCGCACCUAGCAUGGGGCCGUGCAAGUGGCAGUUGCUCAGUAAAUAAUGUUUUCAGUUAAUAAGUAAAUCAUGGGACAUUUUUCUCCACAUUACAUCACACUGAUGCCUGGAAGGUGCUUUUGAGGAGGUUUAGUUUAUGGCUCUCCCCCUAGGCAGUUGCCACCUAAUGUGGUGGUUUCUGUCUUGCUGUUGGGGUGCUGACUGUGAGUGCUGCUCUCAGAGCUACUGCUCAUCUGCUGUAAGAGGAACGAACGUCCUGGUGAGACGGUGGGGGGAGGGGCAUUGCCACUCAUCUUUGACGAGGUGUCUGGAUCGUGCUCAGGAUGAAGAUCACAGCUCUCCCAGCAAGAGGGACGGUGAUCCCAAGGACAAGAGGUUUUGACCCAGGACCUGGAGAUGACAAUUUGGAAACGAUGGUUAAAACAAAA